rnacentral:rRNA from 1 species
UACAGAGGUCCCAAGCGUUGUUCGGAUUCACUGGGCGUAAAGGGUGCGUAGGUGGCCAGGUAAGUCGGAUGUGAAAGCUCGGAGCUCGACUCCGAAAUGGCAUUGGAAACUGCCUGGCUCGAGGGUUGGAGGGGGGACUGGAAUACUUGGUGUAGCAGUGAAAUGCGUAGAUAUCAAGUGGAACACCAGUGGCGAAGGCGAGUCCCUAGACAACUCCUGACACUGAGGCACGAAAGCUAGGGGAGCAAACAGG